UACGUAGGGACCGAGCGUUGUCCGGAAUCAUUGGGCGUAAAGAGCGUGUAGGCGGCCACUUAAGUCCUGCGUGAAAUCUUGCGGCUCAACCGCAAGCGGUCGUGGGAAACUGGGUGGCUAGAGUGCGGGAGAGGAGAGUGGAAUUCCUGGUGUAGCGGUGAAAUGCGUAGAUAUCAGGAGGAACACCUGCGGUGUAGACAGCUUUCUGGACCAUCACUGACGCUGAGACACGAAAGCGUGGGUAGCAAACAGG
rnacentral:rRNA from 1 species